UACAGAGGUGGCAAGCGUUUGUUCGGAAUUACUGGGCGUAAAGGGCGCGUAGGCGGCCUUCUAAGUCAGACGUGAAAUCCCCCCGGCUUAACCUGGGAACUGCGUCUGAUACUGGGAGGCUAGAGUAUGGGAGAGGGAUGUAGAAUUCCAGGUGUAGCGGUGAAAUGCGUAGAUAUCGGGAAGAACACCCGUGGCGAAGGCGGUUCUCUGGGACGGUACUGACGGCUGAGACGCGAAAGCGUGGGGG
rnacentral:rRNA from 1 species